rnacentral:rRNA from 1 species
GGCGAACGGGUGAGUAACGCGUGGGUAACCUGCCCUCGAGUUGGGAAUAACACCCCCAACGGGGUGCUAAUACCGAAUAACAUCGCGCUGACUUAUGUCGGUGCGAUCAAAGGCAGCCUCUGCUUGCAAGCUGUCGCUCGAGGAUGGACCCGCGUCCCAUUAGCUUGUUGGUGAGGUAACGGCCCACCAAGGCGAUGAUGGGUAGCUGGUCUGAGAGGAUGGUCAGCCACACUGGGAUUGAGAAACGGCCCAGACUCCUUCGGGAGGCAGCAGUCGAGAGGCUUUGGCAAUGGGGGAAACCCUGACCAAGCGACGCCGCGUGGGCGAUGAAGGCCUUCGGGUUGUAAAGCCCUGUUAAGAGGGAAGAACCGCCUCGA